CCUCGCAGUUGGCCAUGACCGCGGCGUCCUUCAUCGGGAUCGCCUGCUGGUAGUAGAAGCGGUUGGCCACCCAGCCG
rnacentral:tRNA from 1 species